rnacentral:rRNA from 1 species
GACGAACACUGGCGGCGUGCUUAACACAUGCAAGUCGAACGGAAAGGCCCUGCUUUUGUGGGGUGCUCGAGUGGCGAACGGGUGAGUAACACGUGAGUAACCUGCCCUUGACUUUGGGAUAACUUCAGGAAACUGGGGCUAAUACCGGAUAGGAGCUCCUGCUGCAUGGUGGGGGUUGGAAAGUUUCGGCGGUUGGGGAUGGACUCGCGGCUUAUCAGCUUGUUGGUGGGGUAGUGGCUUACCAAGGCUUUGACGGGUAGCCGGCCUGAGGGGGUGACCGGCCACAUUGGGACUGAGAUACGGCCCAGACUCCUACGGGAGGCAGCAGUGGGGAAUAUUGCACAAUGGGCGGAAGCCUGAUGCAGCAACGCCGCGUGCGGGAUGACGGCCUUCGGGUUGUAAACCGCUUUCGCCUGUGACGAAGCGUGAGUGACGGUAAUGGGUAAAGAAGCACCGGCUAACUACGUG